rnacentral:rRNA from 1 species
AACGAACGCUGGCGGCAGGCCUAACACAUGCAAGUCGAGCGAGGACUUCGGUCCUAGCGGCGGACGGGUGAGUAACGCGUGGGAACGUGCCCUUGGCUUCGGAAUAGCCCUGGGAAACUGGGAGUAAUACCGGAUGAGCCCUUUGGGGGAAAGAUUUAUCGGCGAAGGAUCGGCCCGCGUUGGAUUAGGUAGUUGGUGGGGUAAUGGCCUACCAAGCCGACGAUCCAUAGCUGGUUUGAGAGGAUGAUCAGCCACACUGGGACUGAGACACGGCCCAGACUCCUACGGGAGGCAGCAGUGGGGAAUCUUAGACAAUGGGGGAAACCCUGAUCUAGCCAUGCCGCGUGAGCGAUGAAGGCCUUAGGGUUGUAAAGCUCUUUCAGCUGGGAAGAUAAUGACGGUACCAGCAGAAGAAGCCCCGGCUAACUCCGUG